AUUGAACGCUAGCGGCAUGCUUAACACAUGCAAGUCGAACGGUAGCAGGUCUAGCUUGCUAGAUGCUGACGAGUGGCGGACGGGUGAGUAACGCGUAGGAAUUUACCUUGUAGUGGGGGAUAACUUGGGGAAACCCAAGCUAAUACCGCAUAAGCCCUAAGGGGGAAAGCGUGGGACCGAAAGGCCACGUGCUAUGAGAUGAGCCUGCGUCGGAUUAGCUAGUUGGUAGGGUAAAGGCCUACCAAGGCGUAGAUCCGUAGCUGGUCUGAGAGGACGACCAGCCACACUGGGACUGAGACACGGCCCAGACUCCUACGGGAGGCAGCAGUGGGGAAUAUUGGACAAUGGGCGCAAGCCUGAUCCAGCAAUGCCGCGUGUGUGAAGAAGGCCUGCGGGUUGUAAAGCACUUUCGGUGGGAAAGAAAUCCAGCCGGCUAAUACCUGGUUGGGAUGACGGUACCCAAAGAAUAAGCACCGGCUAACUUCGUGCCAGCCGCCGCCGUAACAC
rnacentral:rRNA from 1 species